GCAGACACACUCCAGCCAAUCAGCAGCAGACCCUCCCUCCCAGACCCUCCCACCACCUGGACAGCUCACUAAGAAUGCAGCUUUGAAAAUGGAUGCUGUCCAGGAGAUGGAAGGGUCUGGGAGGGAGGGUAUGCUGCUGAUUGGCUGGAAUGUGUCUG
rnacentral:miRNA from 1 species